rnacentral:tRNA from 1 species
UCUUUGUAGUAUAUUAAAUACACUGGUCUUGUAAACCAGUAAAGGAGAACAACUAACCUCCCCAAGACU